CAUGUAUAAUGGGGGUCUGUAUGUGUGUACCUGGAUACAAAGGAGAAAUAUGUGAAGAAGGUUUGUUUCUAUUAUAUUCUUUUACUGUUUUGAAGUCCUAUUUCUCAGUUUACUUAAUAAAGUCUAGCAAAAUAAACUGAUGCAUUUCCUGAACAUAGCGAAUGAGACAGAAUCUAAUAAAAAGUGUUCUUUUGGUAGUAUGGACCCUGAUUGUAUAGGACUUUAGGACAGGUUUGUUCACUAAAGUGAGAAUUCCAAGUGAAUUUAAGAUUUAUUUAUUUAUUCCUUUUUUCCAAGGUUAGUUAGAGAUAUAGAAAUCAGAAAUAGGAAAGCAUUUGAAUAACAUUGGUAUGGUACAUAAAUUCGAGAAGGUAUAUCCCUCAAAUAGCUUCCACUUUGCAAUAUGUACAUAAUGUUUUUUGGGUCACAGUGUAAAUGUAUGCUGUUCUCUGGGGCCCACUGCGCUCCCUUUGGAAGAUAGCUGAAGUAUAGCAGUAUUACAAUCCCAUAGUAGUGCUAAGGUGCCUGGUCAUCUCAUUCCAGGGUUUACCUUGUUAUUUCCCCAUGUAUGCUUCUUUCAUUUACUGCGAUUCCCAGAGCUGUGAAUUUAAAAAUUAAUGUAAAAAUAGCCAAACUUGAAAAAUUAUCUAACCCAGCUAUGGUUCAUGUUUAGGUACUUUGUCCUUAAAAUUCACAUUCACUUGUUAUUCUCACUUCAGUAAAUAAUCCAGUGUCAUCAAACCAAUCCUAAUAUGAGUUCUAAUGGUAUUGAAACAGUAUGAUUGGACAAUAAACAACAUAGAAUGACACAGGGCAGUAUGCUUGUUCAUCUAAAAUAAGGAUGUUAAAAAAACAGAAAUAUACAUCCAUACCUUUAGUAUAUGACAGGAUCCUUCAGCCAUAUACAUUCACUUUUGAUUGGAUAGUGUUUAGAAACCAACAGUUAAUCCCCAUGAUCUUGCAAAAAGAAAGAAAGGUUGAAGAGGACAAACCACCGCCAACCUGUAGAGUGGAACAGAACAUUUUCUGCCCCAUGCUAUAGGUUGGUGAUGAUUUGUCCUCCUCAACCUUUCUUUUUGCAUGGUUUGAGGUGGGUGAGAGAGGUAACCAUUAGAGUGUAGUAGUAGAGGUGGUUUUAAGUAUUGUAAUACACAUAACUAAGUGCCUUCCUAACACACAGGAAAUUAUGUGAUUGUAUAGUAUUUUAGUCCCCAUGACCUUCCCUGCUCCACUCCCUGCACAGAAGCAGGGAAGACCAUAGAGGCUAAACAGCUUUCAAACACUGUCUGUCUCAUUGUGCAUGCAUAUGGUUGAAUGAUCCUGUCAUAUAAUAAAGGUAGAAAUUAGUUCUAAUUUCUUUUACAUAUACUUCGAUUUAAAAAAAAUAUAUAUUUUCUUUCAAAACUUGAUGAAAGCAUUUUUAUAUUAAAUAAUUAUUUUGAUAGGACAGUUGUCCUUUAAGUUAUGUUGGUUACCACCAGAUUGUUCAUAUGUUAUACAAAGAGGGCUGCAUUAAUUAUGGUGCUUAACUACCCCUUCAAGAAUUGUGUCAUCCAAACCACAUUGUUUUUUGUAAGUUAAAAUGCAGUGGUUAGUGGUGUCAAAUGAAAUGGAAAUAUCUAUAAAAUGUAAAAUGAAGUCAUCUGGCCAUCAUAUAACCAUUGACAAAACAAACCAUGUUUGUUCCUUUGCCGUGAUUUUUAACUGAAACAUGUCUGAAAACCACCAAAUCUUAUUUAAUGAAACUAAGUACCAGCUGAAUUGGCACACAUCUUCAGUGACUCUCCUACAAAUCUGUGUCUAGCACAUCUAAUCUACUAGAUUGUAAUUCUUGGGGGUUUUUUUUUUUCUAGAAAGGAGAGCUAAGAUUGCUGAACAUUCAGUAGAGAGAGUGAUCAACUAACACUGAAUAAAUACUCUAUUCCUAAUGCUAUAUUGUUAUACUAGCUAGUUAGAGUCAGGGUACCCCGGAAUAAUAAAAUAAAGAAUUUGUUUGCAUUGUAGAGACAGUCUUUUUGCCCCAGAAUUCAGGUGCCUAGACUGUCCUUUUGUGGUUUCACAAAAUAUUUAAUUUUGAUUGUCCAAGGAUUAAUCCCUGCUGCCAGAUAAAGAAGUUCUUAAAACAUUUCUAAUAUAUUGGUGUAAACAAGAUAUAUAGAAUUUCUCACACACUCAUAAGUAGUGUUCACAUGCAGUGCUGUGUGAAUUACAAUUCAACAAGUGAUUGUGAUAGAAAGUGAAAUAACUUCCCUUAGCAAUAUAGGAUAUGCCCGAAGAUUUCCUCCUAUCUUCAAUUCAACAUGCAUAUGAUAUAGGGCUAUUCCAAGCUAGGGAAAAAGAAAAUAUAUGGCAUAGUGCAAUACUGUAUAUACUGUGAUUGGGUAUAUGAGUAAGUGACAAAUGCUCACUCACACUUUAACAUCCCAAGAAAUGCUUUCAGAAAUAUGCUGUGUCUUCUUUUGCUUCAGAGUGCAAAAAAAUGAUUGAAUGACUGUUUGAGUAAAGAGUAAAAAAAGCAUUUAUUACUUACAUCAAAGUAAAUAAAAGCAGGUAAAUCAGUCCAACGCGUUUCUUCCCUGUUAGGGACUUCCUCAGGGACAAUCUUUCACAAGGAUGAUGAAUAAAAAUACAUAUAAACCUAGUUACAAACAUCUCCGAAUAUAUACCACCCCCAAUCAGUCCCAAUAGUGGUUCUGCAGGUGAUUCCAUUUCUCUUCAGCUGUUUUCAAUUCAAAUUUGAGUUACUUCCGGGUUUCGUGUAUCCUGUGCGGUCACAUGAUGUGCGUGAUGACGUCAUGCGUUCCAGCUAUGCGUUCCACCUUCGUUUUGGCUGGCACUCAUAAUUACAAACUGAGAUGUUGAAAAAAAGUCCCAAAAAAGACUGUUUCUAAGGAACAGGUUCAAGACUUGGGUUAUGUUUGUUGCUUAUAUCAUUCAGGUUCUGUUGGUUAUGUUUGUUGCUUAUAUCAUUCAGGUUCUGUUGAUUAUGUUUGUUGCUUAAAUCAUUUAGGUUCUGUUAGUGGAAUGCAAGUACAUUUUUCAAAUGCAGAUAAGUCACACACUAAUAGUAGAUUACAGGAAAAGAUAAAGCUUAAUGUUACAAAUUAAAAAUACUUCCUUCAGUAUGCGCAAGAUAUUCGAGGUAUAAGUAGGUAGUAAAACAAUUGGUGUGGUAAUUUGAGAUGUGUAUAUACAGUAUGUAUAUAUGAGUAUAUUAAUAAUAAAGACAAUUCAUUGUAUUUGGAACAGAAUUUUCAGAUUAUUUUGACUGAAAACCUAUUUUUCAACGAAAACCUCAUUCUCCAGGAUAAAACAACCCUCUCUUCAAAUUUCUACCUUCUGUUAUCUUUUAUAACUGAGCUUAUCCAGGUAUACAGUAUGUUUAGAUGAAGCCAGAUAUAUGAACACAUAUCUAAUGUAUAUAAUAAGACAUUUUACAUUGGCCAAAGGACGAGAGAGGUAGUUAUCAGUAGCAUGCUAACAGUGAAUUUGAAAUCUAAAUUGAUUAUAACCACUCAUACUAUAGGUGAUCUUUUACAAGAUAAUUAGAAUUGCAUUUAACAUCAUAAAAUUGUAUUUCUUGGAAGUAAUAUUUAUAGCAGUAUUGGAUUUUAUUUCUUCUUUAGAGAACUGCCUUGAUCCAAUGUGUUCUGAUCAUGGAGUAUGUGUUCAAGGAGAGUGCCAUUGUACUGCUGGUUGGGGAGGAGUGAACUGUGAAAACGCACUGGCACUUUGCCAGGAACAGUGUUCCGGCCAUGGGACCUUCCUCCUAGAAAGUGGUGUAUGCAGCUGUGAGCCACUCUGGACUGGGG